AUAUGGCUUCUGAAAAUGUUCAAAAGAAUAAUUAUUAAUAAGCAAACAUCCUCCAAGCUUCAUGUUCUUCUUCUCCAGUAGUACGUUUUCCCCUUCCAACAUUUUAUCAGAAUAUUCCUAAAAAGAACUUCAAAUUAAUAUGAUAUAUAUUUCUUAUAAAAUUUAUUAACAGGAGAACAAAUGGUUUAUGGUCUCUAAGUCUCAAGAAAAUGAAUUAAAAGUUACUUCUCAAAAGGAAUACAGACUCAAUUAGUGGCUCAAUUGGUAGUACUCUCCUCACCCAAUUAUCAGCAAAGUUUAUAAAAACUGUUUCCCAUACUAUGGUGAGAAAUAUAUAUUCCCUGUUACUAAGCACAAUAAAAAAUUAAACGUUUCAUGAAACAAACUUCUGUGUAUAUAAUGUGUUAACCCUAUUUUUGUCUAUUACAUUUUAAAAACUAAUGUUUGUGAUUCAUUUCAUUACCAAUGACCUGGCAUAUCUAGACCCAUUGUAAUAAUAAAUUGCCACUGGCCCAGCAAAGGUUAGAAAAUUCUCAUCCCUAAUUCUGGCCACUACAGUGUGACUAUGGGGCUUGGUCUGUUCAAAUUAGAUCUUUCCAGAAGGGGAUAUUGAACCUCUCUAUUUUUAAAUUAGAAAUAUAGUAUCUAUUCAUAGAAUUGCAUAAAGUGAAGAAAUUAGUAACUUACCAUGGUAAUAACACAAACACAACCAGGUGUGAGAAAUAGUAAUAUUGCGAUGAUUUUUUUAGAAGCACCUCCUUCCCUACACAAUAUCUCCUCUAUUUUCUCCAAAGGUAAAGUACUACCUUGAUUUUUAUCACUGUUUUGUAUUAUUUUGAAUUAUUCUACCUAAACAUUUAUGUUUAAACACUAUAGAGUUUUUACCUUUUGAAUUUUAUAUUACUGAAUAUUGUUAUCUAUUCUUUCAUGUUUUCUUUUAUCAUUAUAUUUUAAAGAUCCAGCUCUGAUAUCAUAUAUAACUCAUUUUUGCUGUAUCAUGUUCUAUACCCCAAAUUUACCUUUCUACUGUCAAUUACAGGACAUGCAUAUUCUUUCUAGUUUGGUGCUAUUACAAUUAAUAUUAUUAUGAAUAUUAUUCUCCAUGAUUCUUGGUAUAUAUGUGUCACAUGUUUGAAAUGUAUACACCUAGCAGUGGAAUUGCUUGAUUAUCAGAUUUAUGUUCAACACCAGUAGAAAAUGAUAGUGUUCUAUGUAAGUAGUUUCAACUUACAUGCCCAUCUGGAAUGUAGGAAAGUUGCAUUUGACCUAGAUUCUCAUCAGGACUUAGUAUGGCCCAAGUUUUUAUUUUUAGUCAUAGUGUUCAGCAUGUAUAUUAAUCUCAUUUUGGAUUUAAUUUCUUUUCACUGAUCACUAGUGAGGCUGAGCAUCUCUUCCUACAUUUUAAAGCCAUUAGAAAGCCUAUUUUAGGAGUUCCUGUUGUGGCUCAGCAGAAAUGAGCCUGACUAAUUAUCCAUGAGGACGCAGAUUCCAUCCUUGGCUCUGCUCAGUGGGUUAAGGAUCUGGUGUUGCCGUGAGCUGUGGUGUAGGUGACAGAUGAGGCUUGGAUUUUAUGUUGCGGUGCCUGUGGUGGAGGCCAGUAGCUGCAGCUGAAAGGCUAUUUUAUCAUAUUCCAUCCAGUUCAAGUCCUUCGACCUUGGUAAAUUUGGUUGUCUUUAUUUUUAUAAUUGAUUCAUGAGAGUGCCGUAUAUUCUAUGGAAAUAAAUUGUUCAAAUAAGUGUUUUAAUAUCUUGACCCACUGCCUUUUUUGCUAUUAAUAGAAAAAUUAGUUUUGAAGCAGAUUUCUUUCCCUUUAUGCUCAAUAAUUUUUGUGUCCUUUUCAAGACAAUAUAUAUCUCUCUUUGAUCAUAAUCCUGUUAUUUCUAGAAGUAACCACUGGCUUUUGUGGUAAUUAUAUUCCUGCUUUAAAAAAUGUAUAUAUUUAUUUAGUUUUUUGCUUUUUUUAGGGCCAUAGGUGUGGCAUAUGGAAGUUCCCAGGCUAGGAGGUCUAAUCAGAGUUAUAGCUGCUAGCCUAUAUAAACCACAGCCACAGCAAUGUGGAAUUUGAGUCGCGUCUGUGACCUACACCACAGCUCACAUCCACACUGGAUCCUUAACUACUGUGGGCGGCCAGGGAUCCAACUCACAUCCUCAUGGAUACUAGUCAGGUUUAUUACCGCUGAGCCAUUAUGGGAACUCCCAAAAUGUAUACAUUUAAAAAUCUAUGUACUCUUACAUAAUUUUAAAGAAUUUACCUAUUUUGAACAUUAUAUAACAUAUAAUACUUCAUCUUUUUUGUAUUGCUUCUUUUGAUCAAUAUUUUAUACAUAGUUGCUCAUAUAUUUCCAUUGAUCAAGUGUAUUCCACUACAAGUACAUAAACUUUCUUAUUUUUAUUUAUGGAUAAAUAGGUCUGUUUCUGGGAUCUCCAAUUUGUUUUCUUGGCCUGUUUGUGUAUUUUUGCAUCAUCAUCACACUGUUUUAAUUAUUUUAACUUACAAUGAGAUGUAUUGUUACCUGGCAUGUUCUAAGUUUGUUCUUAUAUUUCAAUAUUAUCUGGACUAUUCAAUAUCUUGACAUUUAUGGGCUUUUGCAUUUUCAUAUAAGUUUUAGAAUCAGCUUGGCAAUUUUCCACAAAAAAUGUGGCCACAUUACGAUUGAAAUUGCUUUGGUUCUAUUAAUAAUUUGGGGGAAAUUGUCAUCUUUAACUUAGUCUUUUAUUUCAUGAAUAUUGUUCAUGCUUCAUUGAUUUCCAUCUUUUAAAAUUAGUUUUAGUAAUAUCUUGUUCUUUUGUGAUGCCUUAUUUUUAAUUAGUUUUUUUCCUAGGAAUUUGAUAUUAUCUGAUAUUUCAAUUGUAUCACAGAUCAGUUUAAAUUAUCUACUUAUAGCUAGUAUGUGGAAAGAAAAUGGAUAUUUGCUUAUUGACCUUAUAUUCAAUAAGCUUGCUAGAUUGGUUGAUACCAAUAGGUUUUCUCUAGAUACUGUUUUUGUUGUGUUUUCUAUGUACACAUUCAUGUCAUCUAUACUGGUAGAAAUUUUAGCUCUUUCUGUCCAACCCUUCUGCCAUUUAUAUUGUUUUUGUUCUUUCUUGUAUCACUGCUGUUAGCUAAAAUUAAUGUUGACAUGUGGAUGGCAAACACCCUUGUAUGUUACUGAUCUCUGGAGGAAGGUAAUAUUUUACCAUUAAAUGUGAUGUCUGCUGUAGUUGUUUGUAAACAUCUUUAUCAGGUUCAUGUUGGGAAAUUCACCUUUAUUCCUAGAUGUAAGUCAUAUUGACAGAAAGUACUUUACAUUACUUUAAAAAAAAGAAAAUCCAGGCGUCUCUAUUGUGGCACGGUGGAAACAAAUCCAACCAAUAUCCAUGAGGAUGUGGGUUGAUCCCUUGCCUCGCUCAGGGGGUUGGGGACAUGGUGUUGCUGUGAGCUACCGUGUAGGUCACAGAUGCAGCUUGGAUCCUGCAUUGCUGUAGCUGUGGCGCAGGCCGGCAGUUGUAGCUCCAAUUCAACCCCUAGCCCCUAGGAACUUCCAUAUGCCAUGAGUGUGACCCUAAU
rnacentral:lncRNA from 1 species